GGAACCAGGGAGAAAACCCAGUGAAAGGGCUGAGCUCCCAAUGCCUUCUGGAAACAGGAUAUUUGGCUAGAUCAACUUGGUCUCUGUGAGGGUUUCAUCUCAUUACACAGAUACAUUAAUUACUGUAUAAAGAAGUUUGCAUUGGCAUUUCCAGGGAGCGGUUGCUCAAUCCCGUCUCACAAAUUCUCAUAAAACACAAGAUAAAUGGGGUACUUAGACAUGUUCCUGGGUUAACUGAUGGCUCUUGUAGCAACACGGGGCAUUUUGAAAUGAAAAUUACACUUCAGGAGGCAGAAAGCUUCUGGGCUUUCUAAGGUUUAUUAUUGCCUUGCUUACAGCUGGGAGCUAAACAAGAUGUUUGCUCCGGAAACUACUGAAGCGCAGUGAAAUAUUCACCAGAAGAAAGGUGAUAACACAGCCAGGAGUAAUUACCUUGGUUUAACACUUAAAUCCUUUUUUUUUUUUUUUAGCCUUUUUCCUUAAAACCGGGGCCGGGCCCCUCCCCGCCCUCACGUGUCCCCGCGCCAUCAGCGCGCGCCGCCGGUCACAUGGCGCUUGUUUACCUCGGUCACUGCCGGGGGAGGCGGCUGAGGGACCGACAGACACACCGACCCCGAGCGACACACCGACAGACAGACCGAGCGACACACCGACCCCGAGCGACACACCGACCGCCCCCCGGGGACAGCGGGAGAUUGGCGGCGGGGAAAAGGCCGUACCCCGCAGGGGCGCUGGGAAGGCUUGUCCCCUCUCCGGCGGUCUGAGGUUCACCAUGUCCCUGUCAGCAAGGAGAUGUGGAAGGCCCCCUGUGUUGUCUUUUCUGGAAAAGAAAAAGAGAAAGCAAAGUCUUGAUAGAAGAAGGGGGAAAACAAGGAUUUAUGUGGGAAAUCAUAUUGACCGGUGGCUGACACUUAAGGAGAAAUUGGAUUUCAGAAACGAUGCAGAAGUUGCAGGGUUUUUACUGGACAUGUAUGACAGCUACGACCCAUUGUCAAAAGCUCCGCUCUGUGCCCUCUCUGAGGAUGUGGGAAGGGUCACUGGGAAGGAAGAAAGAGCAUUGUCAGCCAGCACUGCUUUAAUAGCAGCAGAUGGAACGUAUGACAAUCAUGACCAGCUGCCUAAAGAAUCUGGAUUUGGAGAUGUGAGAAUUGUAGCUGUGAAAGAGGAGCGAGAGCUGCCAAGGGACUGCACGUUGACAAGGACAGAUGACACUGAUGUUGCACACCAAAUGAUGUGUUAAACUGUCUAAAAACCGUGCUCAGCGAGGCCAUCCCACCAUGGACUGCUGCUGUCUGUUACUGCAGUGUCUCCAGUAACUGUUGAGAUCAGAGGAGCCUCCAAUAGGGAGACACACAGACCAUAGGACAUUGCAUUGGCAUUGCAUGAUGUGUCCAAACCCCUCGCCAAUAUGGUGAAGUGAACAAGUUGGGGUUCGGAAAGCAAUUCUGUGGCAGAGAAGAAUCCUUGGAAGCUAGGUCAGGAGCACAUAAAUACUGGUGAAGCUGAAAAAUUCAAGUAUAUUCUUCAAAAAAGCAUUUUUCUCUGGCACUGUAAUUUUUGUUUGGAGUGCAGCAGUAACUGAAUUCCUGGGACUGAUUUGGUACAGGGUGAGCAGCAAGAAGAAAAUCAAGCUCUUGCAUAACAAUACAGGGGCAGUUUCUACUCCAUUUUGAUUUUGCUGUGAGGUUGUUGUGAACUGUAAAGAAUUACUGUAAGUUGUGUGAAAUUCCAUGUUGAGUUGAUAGCACAUUAAACUUAAUUACCUAAAGUUUUAUUGUGUUAUGUUAAUGUUAAUAAAGUGUGUAGAGUGGAUUAUUUAUCUGGGGGAGUCUGUACAGAGUUCUCUGAGGGGCAACAAAAAAGGACCAGCCAAAGUGGUCAUGGUAUUGCUAAACUUAGUCAGAAUUUAGUAACUUUCUGUAGGUUUUCUUAACAACUGAGUUCCUUACAUUUUAUUAAAAACUCAAAAGGAUUAAGAUAAAGACAAUAUUCUGGUGUCAGUUGCAGCAUCAAGUGUGCUUCCAUCUGAACGUGUUUCUUGGAAUGCCUCUCUUUAGAGAACAAAUUUAACAUAUCCCAUAUAUUGGAAAGCAUUUGUGCAGUUGAUUGAUGCCCUGAAAAAUGAUGGGUAAAAAUGCUGGACUGCAGAUUGUGUUGUGUUGGAGCCUUUGAAAAAAUGAGUAAUUGAGAUCAGCUACUCUGGUGCUUUUCUGAAAUCUUUGGUGAUUGAAUCAUUUGAUAUCUUCUGCUUUGGCUGUUGAUGGUACAAAAGCUGAUACAUGAGCUGAUACGUGAUGCAUCUUGAUUAUUUUCCGCUGUAACAGAGAUGAAAUAAGCGCAGCAGUUUCAGUAACUGAAGUUCUGCAGAGCUCUGUUGGCAGUUCAGGAUGUUUUGUAGUGUGAGUAAUCCUGGAAAGGUUUUGAGCAGAGAAGCUGACACUGGUACAGUAUUCAGGUUAUUCAGUGUGUGGCUGUCAGAAGCACAGAAACUCCCAGCUUUCUGAUUUUAACAUUUUUGUCUUUAACCACACACUUGCAUAAGCUUUCAGGUCUUGAUCUUAGAGCAUUCAAGCCAGCUGGGCUUUCCCACCAACUUACACUAGAACAGCCUCUCUGUGGGGAGAAAUUCCCCUAAUUAGAUCAUUCUAUUCUGCAUUCAGUUUUUGAAAUGAGCUACUUCACUGGCUGUAAGAAACUGCUGUUGCUCUUAAAUAUUGAUGUGUUUGAAAUAUCCAAAUUCAAUGUUGUUUUAUGAACAAUAGAUUUUUCUCUAAAUGUUGCACAGAUAGAUCUUUAAAAAAAAAGUUGAGAAGGCAGUUGUUUGAGACUUUCUCAAAAUGAAAAUGCCACUUCCUCUGUAUUUGUGUUCUCUCUUUGCUCUGUACCUUUCAGAUUUUUCUGUGACUACCAAACAUUGAUUCAUUUAAAUAACUCAGUUUGACUCAUGGAAGAAGUGUGACUGGUGACACUUAUUCUCAGUGAAGUGUCUUCCAGUGCUCUCAGAUUUUCAAUUGCUGGUGUCAUUACAGUGAGAAGGGAAGAGGACUCUGCCUUCCAUUCCAUUUUCCUCCAAAGUCUUCAAGAUCAGAAGAAUCCACAACUGUUCCAUAUUCUCAGCCAGCUCAGCCUUGUUCUUGUGCCUUUUUAAAUGCAUGCUGCAAAUAUUUAUAUUAUUUAAUUACUUACUGUUAUGCAGGUAGAAUAAUACUGCCUGUACCUGAUUUGCUGAGUUGCACUCACUAUGUAAAUGACUGGUAGAGUGAUUAUUCUUGUUCCUAGUACUGGAAUAUAGUACACUUCUUCCCUUACUAAGGCUUCAAACCUCCCAUUACACUGGCACUUCAUGCUGAAGAAAAAUCAAGAGAAAGCAGACUUCUAAACAUUUCCUUUUGUACUCUUGUAGUGUGACAGAUGAUGUAUUUGGGUUGCUAUAUGAGCAUAUGCUUUUGAAUAUCUGGCUUCUGUAGAGCAGGUUAUUAUCAUUGUUAUUUUCCAGUAAAGUUAGCAGAGUGGUGAAUGGAAAUGAUUCUGAAACAAAAUUCUUUCUUCCAUGGAUACGAUGAGCAGUGGCUCUGCUUUAGUCAACAUGGCCAAAGCUUCCUGCUGCUGUGGGUGUGUGGGAAUGGUGGAAUUUGACUGUGUUCAGAUGUCAGAACUAAACCCUUAAGAAUUACUUACCCUCUUAUUUCAAUGAUACAUUAAAAAUGUACAUUUAGGAGAAUUACUUUAAACAGAAUCAUAAGUUGUGCUGUUGACAAUACUGAAUACUUAGGGCUAAAACCUAUAGUGUUAAAUGAGAUUUUUUUUCUUUAGAGGUUUAUAGUGAAAGGCAAAUAGUAGCUAUAAAACAACCAGAUUUUAGUUUUGUUUUGUAUUUGUAAAGUGGACUUACUGUGCCAGUUGAUUUCCUUAGAACUGUGGAUCCAUCAAAUCUUUUGCAAUGUAUUUACAUACAUAAACUGGGAAACUUCAUCCAAAUAAGAGCUGUUCUGAACUUAAAUUUCAAACCAUUAGUUAAAGAAUUGAAGUUACAAGCACUGGUUUUCAUAGUACUUACUUAAUCUUCCAUUACUUUGCCUUCACGAGAAGCUGUUUUCUAAAAUCACAGUAACUGCAAUUGUGCUCUUAGCUCACAUAAUGUAGUAGCACCUGAAAACUUGUGUGUCUUGCUGGGAAAAGGUAGUCUGGCCUGUAUUGUGAUUUACUUUUGUCUGAAACCCUCUACAAAACAGGAGGGAAAAUUGUUUAAAGUAGCUCUUACAGAUUUCUCGAUGAAAGAAGUUUUGCAGAUUAUCCCAGACCCACUGGAGAGGGCAGUAGAACUGAGGUGAGAUACUGGAAUAGGGUAUUAUUACCUUAGAGAAGCAGUGUUUCAAUGCCUUGUUUUCUUGCCAUUUCAAAUUGCUGUUUAAUUCUCUGGCUCUUUUCUUUUUCUGAAUGCUUACAAGUCUGUAAAGCUUGAUCAGACAGUCAUGAGGAAUACUGCAGCAAGGCACACUGUUUAACUGCGUUAAACACUGUUAGCAGGGAUGCAGGAACCUGGUUUUAUUCUGAACUCUUCAGGCUUAGUAGAUCAUAAUGGGUUUUAUCUUGUGGUAAAAUUGAAAUAUGAAAUAUGACUUUUAUAAGCCAUGAUCAUUUGUCUGAUUUAAUGGUAUGAAAUACUAUCAUCAGUGUGAUGAUGUUUGUUAUUACUUUUGCAAGAGGCUUACGUGUCCUGUGCCUGUUAGCGAGGAGUCUUUGGGCUUCUAAAUCAAGACAGCCCAACCAAGUUUCAGCUGUGUGUCAUAUUAAACAUGUUCUCAUGAGUCACUGCUGAGAAUGCUGAUCAGUGGAUAGCAGGAAGGACAGUGCAUCAAAGGAGGAAUUCCAGAGGUAGGAGAAGAGGAGUUUCAGUUUGAGAUGUGGGUCAGAGAGGAAUGGUGAACCUGAGUGCUGUUUGUGGUUUGAGCCCUGUGCCAGGACAAGCCUGCUUCCUCUCUUUUCCCCUGCCUCAGCAGAAGCGAUGGAUUUCAUUUACAAUUCCAGAGAGAUUCCUCACCACUGCAGCACUCAGAGCCCUGCCAGUGGGGAUUGUGGUUUUACAAUGCUGAGGAUUCAGCAGAUAAACUGGACACUGCUGAGAUCAGGUAGAGCUGAUAAGUGUGAGAAGUUACAUCUUCCCCACCUCCCUUAGGUCACAGAGCAAUACUUCUUUCUGUAGUUCUUGUGCAUAAAUGUGAUGCUGGCAUGUAUUUAAGAAGCCAAAAUCAGUCUGCUCCACUCAGUGCUGUGUGUAAUCAUGCUCUGUGUCCAGUGGAGCUGUAUCCAGAGACUGCCCAGGGUACCUAGAAAUAAAGAGGGCAAGUGUUUGUGUGUGUGUGUACACACACAGCUCCACUCUCCAGUUUAUUUUAUGAAAGCUUAAACUAGCAUGGAUUGAAGAGGACCUUUAAAGGUCAUCUCAUCUACCCUGCUCCAAGCAGGGCUGACUUCAGGUUUGGAUCAGGUUACUCAGAGCCUUGGCCUUCUGAGAACCUGGGUAUUCUAUAGAAUUUUGUAAUGUUCUUUCAUAAAACACAGGAUCCAGAAUGGUUUCAUCUUGCAUUUCUAUUUUCCAUUUUUAUUUUUUACUCUCAUUGUAGUAGUGCUGAUCCAUGGCUUUUAAGAUAUGUGACCUGACAGUAUGGGAACCGUUAAAAUACAUUCAUGGGGGCAACUUAUUGCAGCUACAGACAGUUUCUGAUUUGAAUAGCUUUGUCUGUGCUAGGUAACACUGUGCAUGUGGAGAUGUUUUAAGAUGUAUCACAAAGACCUUUCUUUCUCUGGCUUUAAGAGAGGAUAUGGUCUGAAGUGGCUGAAGGCACUGUGCUAAGUAAUCUUUUUUGUGUGGUUACUGCUGGGUGUUUGUAAACAUCUCCUGUCUAUAGUAGCAAAAAUACUUUGGUAAGUAUGUAUGCAGUAAGUAGAGACAGUGAAAAAUCAGAGUCUCUGGUAUGGACAUAUGUUGCUAUUUGACUUAGUUACAUUGGUUCUUUGGCUUCAGUCAGGUUAAGUGACAACCUGCAUAUGCUUUCCUAAAAAAAAUGUUGGGGUUAGAUAUUUUAAAUCUAAUUGAAGAAGUAAUUGUUUUUCAAGAUAGGCUAUUCUUUUGUGAGUGUGUAUUCCUGUUCUUUAUCUCCACAUCUUUGGAAUAUCUGUUAAAUCUCAUCCUUGUUCUUCCUGGUUCUCUACACAAAUUUCUUUCCCCUCCUAUAUGCUCCUUCUUGGUUGGUCAACUUUGGUGCAGAGAUCAGAAGAUAUUUCAGCAGAAGAAUUUCAUCAAUGUUUGUAAGCUUUGUUUAAAUAAUAAUUUCAAAGCACUUUUUGACAUGACCUAUUUUUCAAAUGAACUUGCAGUAAAAGUAAGACAUGAAGUGCUAUCUUCAGUGGCAGAAAAUAAAAUCCCAUUGUAGUAGAUUUUUUUUGAAUUUAAAAAAUCCCUCAUAGGAUAAACUCGACCUGGCUUUGAGUGUGGUACGAUAGUGUUUAGCUUGUGAUUCAGCUGUUGAUCUAGGAUGACUUAAAUUGAAUCUCUACAGAGCAGCUCUGAUAAUUCUUGUGCUGGUUUAAAUCCUAAAUUAGAUAAAAGUACUUGAGGAUAAUAGACUGCAACAUAUUUAAUAUAUCCCAGUGACUUGUCUUUUCUUUUCCAGAAGAGCAGAUGAAAGUACAGGAGGCAGUAGAUAAUUCUCAUAGGUGAAAAUGUUUAUUGUUUGUAACAUCCUGAUUCAGUGUGUUGUAUGGGCUUGCAGAUAUGAGCUUGGGGAAGAUUUGAGCAAAAAUACCUCACCAGGUUGUGCUUUGGUUGGGAACUUUGCUAUAAAUUAAGACAGCUGCAGGUGUGUUUUGUGAACGUGUAGAAAAAAUAACUGUUCCUGUAAUCCUGUAAUUCAUGUAGCUGUUGUCUCUCUAUGUUUAAAAUACUCCUAAACCAGCAUUUUUUAAAAGUCUCAUCAUACGAUAAAAAUUUGCAUAACUUUAUUUCAAGAUUGAUGAAUUACAAAUAAAUAUAGGAAAUGCAGGAAUAAGGUUAUUUU